UCAGACAUGGUGUAGUGGGAACAUGGUUUCUUCUGGUCAGUCAGAAUUCUAUCAUCAGAGGUAAUCCAGGGUUCGAAUCCUUGUGUCUGAA